rnacentral:rRNA from 1 species
AACGAACGCUGGCGGCAGGCCUAACACAUGCAAGUCGAGCGCGCCCUUCGGGGUGAGCGGCGGACGGGUGAGUAACGCGUGGGAACGUUCACUUUUCUACGGAAUAGCCACGGGAAACUGAGAGUAAUACCGAAUACGCGCUUAGGGCGGAAGAUUUAUCGGAAAAGGUGCGGCACGCGUUGGAUAAGGUCGUUGGUGGGGUAAUGGACUAAUAAGCCGACAAUCCAUAGCUUGGUUGUGAGGAUGAUCAGCCACACUGCGACGGAGACGCGGCCCAGACUCCUACGCGAUGCGGGAAUGGGUGAUCGAAGACAAUGGGGUGAACCCUGAUCGAGCCAUGCCGGUAGAGUGAUGAAGGCAGGAGGGAUGUAAAGCGCUAGCAGCUGGGAAGAUAAUGACGGUACCAGCAGAAGAAGCCCCGGCUAACUCCGUG